GUCAAUAACUCACCGCUAAGUCCUAUGGGACUAUAGCGGGAGCUUGUAGAAGCUCAUAGUUGACCAGACUAAGACUUGAUAAUGGUCUACGUUAUUUGAGUCAUAACACCUGUAGGUGCGUGCCAGCCUUCAGCUCUGUU
rnacentral:sRNA from 14 species